UACGGGGGGAGCAAGCGUUGUUCGGAUUUACUGGGCUUAAAGAGUUCGUAGGCGGCUUGGAAAGUGGGGUGUGAAAGCCCUCGGCUUAACCGAGGAAUUGCGCUCCAAACUACCGAGCUUGAGGAGGCUAGAGGUGAGCAGAACUGAUGGUGGAGCGGUGAAAUGCGUUGAUAUCAUCAGGAAUACCGGAGGCGAAGGCGGCUCACUGGGACCUUUCUGACGCUGAGGAACGAAAGCUAGGGGAGCAAACGGG
rnacentral:rRNA from 1 species